rnacentral:tRNA from 1 species
GCGGACAUGGCGGAACUGGCAGACGCACCAGACUUAGGAUCUGGCGGGAAACCGUGGGGGUUCAAGUCCCUUUGUCCGCACCA